rnacentral:rRNA from 1 species
GACGAACGCUGGCGGCGUGCUUAACACAUGCAAGUCAACGGGGUGUUAUUUCGGUAAACACCAAGUGGCGAACGGGUGAGUAACGCGUAAGCAAUCUACCUUCAAGAUGGGGACAACACUUCGAAAGGGGUGCUAAUACCGAAUGAAUGUAAGAGUAUCGCAUGAGACACUUACUAAAGGAGGCCUCUGAAAAUGCUUCCGCUUGAAGAUGAGCUUGCGUCUGAUUAGCUAGUUGGUGAGGGUAAAAGGCCCACCAAGGCGACGAUCAGUAGCCGGUCUGAGAGGAUGAACGGCCACAUUGGGACUGAGACACGGCCCAGACUCCUACGGGAGGCAGCAGUGGGGAAUAUUGCACAAUGGGGGAAACCCUGAUGCAGCGACGCCGCGUGGAGGAAGAAGGUCUUCGGAUUGUAAACUCCUGUUGUUGAGGAAGAUAAUGACGGUACUCAACAAGGAAGUGACGGCUAACUACGUG